GUAUAGGUUUAUAGGCACAAAGGCCAUUGAUUACAUUCUACGACAUACAUUGGGGUAUAUGAAGAAACAUAGGCCUGGAAAUGUAAGGAGAGACCGUGAAGUCAAAGCCUCAAUCCCGAAUGGCUAGCAUUCAGAGAGAGAUCCAGGUCUACAAAAGGUGCACAGGUGGAGAUAUAAAGACGACAAGUGUGCACAUGCUCUCUAUGAGAGCCAGCAGCAACUCAUCAGGUUUAAUUCAAUAAUGAUCCUUCCGCAGGUUCACCUACGGAAA
rnacentral:misc_RNA from 1 species